AGAAACUACAAAGGAAGUUGACGGGGCCCGGCACAAGCGGUGGAGUAUGUGGUUUAAUUCGAUGCAACGCGAAGAACCUUACCUGGUCUUGACAUCCCGGAGACCCUUAGGAAACUAGGGGGUGCUUCCAUCUGGAAGAAUCUGGAGACAGGUGCUGCAUGGCUGUCGUCAGCUCGUGUCGUGAGAUGUUGGGUUAAGUCCCGCAACGAGCGCAACCCUUGCCUUUAGUUGCCAGCAGUUCGGCUGGGCACUCUAAAGGGACUGCCGGUGUUAAACCGGAGGAAGGUGGGGAUGACGUCAAGUCCUCAUGGCCUUUAUGACCAGGGCUACACACGUACUACAAUGGCCGAUACAAAGGGCAGCGACACUGCGAGGUGAAGCCAAUCCCGUAAAAUCGGUCUCAGUCCGGAUUGAAGUCUGCAACUCGACUCCAUGAAGUUGGAAUCGCUAGUAAUCGUGGAUCAGCAUGCCACGGUGAAUACGUUCCCGGGCCUU
rnacentral:rRNA from 1 species